rnacentral:rRNA from 1 species
GACGAACGCUGGCGGCAGGCCUAACACAUGCAAGUCGAACGAGUGGCGGACGGGUGAGUAAUGUCUGGGAAACGGCCCGAUGGAGGGGGAUAACGACUGGAAACGGUAGCUAAUACCGAAUACAAUCGGAUGUGCCCAGAUGGGAUUAGCUAGUAGGUGGGGUAACGGCUCACCUAGGCGACGAGCCCGAUCUUGUCUGAGAUGAGGACCAGCCACACUGGAACUGAGACCCGGUCCAGACUCCUACGGGAGGGAGCAGUGGGGAAUAUUGCACAAUGGGCGCAAGCCUGAUGCAGCCAGGCCCGGUGUAUGACGAAGGCCUUCGGGUUGUAAAGUACUUUCAGCGAGGAGGCGUUACUCGCAGAAGAAGCACCGGCUAACUCCGUGCCAGCCGCCGCGGUAAUUC